rnacentral:sRNA from 15 species
CAAGCACCUCGGUAGGUGAGGCUUCUGCAUGGAUAUAGGCCACCGAUCCCGGACGUCGAGAGAUGCAUCGGGUCAAGACAACUCCCAGGGUUGGGUCCAAGUCCAAGUGGUUUCUGGACGUUGGUCCAGAUAUGCUGUGCAGUGCCUAAGCUCCGGCGAUGAGGGGAUGCGU